rnacentral:lncRNA from 1 species
UUGCCCCAGCAGCUGUGAGCAGACUUCCACAAAUAGAAGUUCAUAGCCAAAAUGCAGGCCAGAGUCACAAAACAAAAGAAUAUUGGAGUGGAGGGACAUAUUUUUCAGCUGAUCUUUGUCAGUUGGGCCUGGAUAGUUGUCCCUGCAUUUCACUUUUCAUCACUGAGCUCUUUGAAACAAGGCAAAGUCAGUAAUUAAUGCCAUCACUUAGUGUGGAAAGCAAGCCCAAAGCCCUUGGGGAAGGCCCUGGUGAACCUUCGUGAGUGCCAGGUUCCAGAGGGUGGUCCCAGGACUCACCACUUAACUCUUGUCUCUUUUCUAGAUUCAAGUGGAUGAAAAGGGGAAGAUUGUGGAUGCUAGGUUUAAAACAUUUGGCUGUGGUUCCGCAAUUGCCUCCAGCUCAUUAGCCACUGAAUGGGUGAAAGGAAAGACGGUGGAGGAAGCCUUGACUAUCAAAAACACAGAUAUCGCCAAGGAGCUCUGCCUUCCUCCCGUGAAACUGCACUGCUCCAGUAAGUCUCUGCUCUCCAUACCAGUCAGCUG